UGAGUAACCGUGCUCCUAGACUGUUUAGCCGGUUUUCCUUGGUUUGCCUUCACCGGUAGGCCAUGGUGGCUGGCGUGUUUACCUUGAAUAAAUUAGAGUGCUCAAGACAGGCGUUUUGCUUGUAUAUCCGUGCAUGGAAUAAUGGAACAGGACUUCGGUUCAUUCUGUUGGUCUUGGAACCGAUGUAAUGGUUAAGAGGGACUGACGGGGGCAUCCGUAUCGCUGCGUGAGAGGUGAAAUUCUUGGACCGCAGCGGGACGUCCAACUGCGAAAGCAUUUGCCAAGAAUGUCUUCAUUAAUCAAGAACGAAAGUCAGAGGAUCGAAGGCGAUUAGAUACCGCCCUAGUUCUGACCGUAAACGAUGCCAACUAGCGAUCAGGUGCUGAUAGUUUAGUCGCGCCUGGGAGCUUCCCGGAAACGAAAGUCUUCGGGUUCCGGGGGUAGUAUGGUUGCAAAGCUGAAACUUAAAGGAAUUGACGGAAGGGCACCACCAGGAGUGGAGCCUGCGGCUUAAUUUGACUCAACACGGGAAAACUCACCCGGCCCGGACACUAGUAUGAUUGACAGAUUGAUAGUUCUUUCCUGAUUUGGUGGUUGGUGGUGCAUGGCCGUUCUUAGUUGGUGGAGUGAUUUGUCUGGUUUAUUCCGAUAACGAACGAGACUCUAACCUGCUAAAUAGUUUCCCGGUAGCUUAGCCGGCUGAAACUUCUUAGAGGGAUCAGUGG
rnacentral:rRNA from 1 species